GAUGAACGCUGGCGGCGUGCUUAACACAUGCAAGUCGAACGAUGAAGCCCAGCUUGCUGGGUGGAUUAGUGGCGAACGGGUGAGUAACACGUGAGUAACCUGCCCUUAACCCUGGGAUAAGCCUGGGAAACUGGGUCUAAUACCGGAUAGGAGCGCCCACCGCAGGUGGGGGGUUGGAAAGAUUUGUCGGUUUUGGAGGGACUCGCGGCCUAUCCCCUUGUUGGUGAGGUAAUGGCUCACCAAGGCGCCGACGGGUAGCCGGCCCGCGAGGGUGACCGGCAACAGUGGGAUGGGGAUACGGUCGAGAGUCCGACAGGGGGCAGGAGUGGAGAACGUUGAACAAAGCGCGGAAGCCAGACGGACGCACUCCGCGUGCGGGAUGCCGGCGAUCAGGGUGUAAACGGCAUUCGAUAGUGAAGAAGUGUGGGGGUCGGUAACGGGUAAAGAAGAACCGGCUAACUAUGGG
rnacentral:rRNA from 1 species